GGGUCAGUAGGUCGGUCGUGCCACCGGUACGUACUGGUCUCACUGAUUCCUCCUUCCUGAAGAACCGUAAUGCCAUUAAUUUGGUGUUGCGGGGAAACAGGACUGUUACUUUGAAAAAAUUAGAGUGUUUAAAGCAAGCUAACGCUUGAAUGCAUUAGCAUGGAAUAAUGAAAUAGGACGAUCGAUCCUAUUUUGUUGGUUUCUAGGAUUGACGUA
rnacentral:rRNA from 1 species